rnacentral:lncRNA from 1 species
CAGGUGAAUUGUAUUUUUGAUUUAGAGACCGAGCUUUUAAAUUAGUUUGCUAUGUAGUUUACCUCUGUAACAAAGGAUUUGCCAGUGACGUCUUGACCGGAUUCUAAUAUCACUGAACUUGGUAAGAAGUUGGACAUUGUAGGGUUCAUUACCGAGAGCUUCUCUUCUAUCAUCUUCUAUCACAACAUGACAAUUAUGUCAUCAAUUUACCAGCUAGUGUCAGCAACAAGAGCAAUUUCCGUCACUUUUAACCUGAAGUUUCCUUGAGUUUUGGUCAAUGUAGAGUAUUUAUACCUAGUGCUCGGCUUACUAUAUUUCUUUAGCCCUUUCUUGUGAAAUGUCAGCAACCUUCGAACCAAAUAAGAACCAUUAAGUACACAAUGUUGAUUACCUUAUUGAAGCGACACUGCCUCUGCACCAUCAAAAGAAAGUUUACCAAAACAAAUCUCAACAUGACAUCAAUGACUUGGUUCAGCUUCAGAUCAGCACAGAGCUCUGCUUAGGCGUUCAUUCAACGAAACAAGUUGUGAUUUCGUAUCCCAAAAGCUGUUUGAGGCAAUGUUGGAGAGGUCCUUGACCAGAAGGGCGAGAGAGAUUAAAGAAAAAAAACAAUCGCACAUAACAUAAGCGAGACAAAGUUUUCACAUGUAAUAACUAACUACAGUUCUCUCUUUCUGGGAAAAGUUAUGUCUUCUAUAUCGUUUUCAUCCAAGAUACCAUAGACGAAUCACUCUUUAUUUUUCUAUUUUUAAUUUGUUAUUAGAAUAUACUGAAAAUAGCAUUCUCGUAAUAAGGAAAAAAAAUGGUUUUGUGUCUUUAUACGUCUUUAGAAGCGUGUGUGCAUAACUCAGAGUCGACUUAGUAACUAUGAUGAGAUAAAUAAGAAUCAGUU